GACGAACGCUGGCGGCGUGCUUACCACAUGCAAGUCGAGCGGAGCGGCGAACGGGGGAGUAACGCGUGAGUAACUGCCCCCUUCCCUGGGAUAACAGUUGGAAACGGCUGCCAAUACCGGAUAGUGGGGGAUGACUCGCUGCCUAUCAGCUUGUUGGUGGGGUAGUGGCCUACCAAGGACACGACGGGUAGCCGGCCUGAGAGGGCGACCUGCCACAUUGGGCUGAGAGACGGCCCAAACUCCUACAGGGGGCAGCGGUGGGGAAUAUUGCACAAUGGGGGAAACCCUGAUGCAGCAGCGCCGCGUGCGGGAUGACGGUCUUCGGGUUGUAAACCGCUUGCAGCCAUGACGCGGUAGUGGCAGAAGAAGCACCGGCUAACUACGUGCCAGCAGCCGCGGUAAUAC
rnacentral:rRNA from 1 species